rnacentral:rRNA from 1 species
AGGGAUUGCCCUAGUAACGGCGAGUGAAGCGGCAACAGCUCAAAUUUGAAAUCUGGCCUCGGCCCGAGUUGUAAUUUGUAGAGGAAGCUUUAGGCGCGGCACCUUCUGAGUCCCCUGGAACGGGGCGCCACAGAGGGUGAGAGCCCCGUAUAGUUGGAUGCCUAGCCUGUGUAAAGCUCCUUCGACGAGUCGAGUAGUUUGGGAAUGCUGCUCAAAAUGGGAGGUAAAUUUCUUCUAAAGCUAAAUACCGGCCAGAGACCGAUAGCGCACAAGUAGAGUGAUCGAAAGAUGAAAAGCACUUUGAAAAGAGGGUUAAAUAGCACGUGAAAUUGUUGAAAGGGAAGCGCUUGUGACCAGACUUGCGCCGGGCGGAUCAUCCGGUGUUCUCACCGGUGCACUCCGCCCGGCUCAGGCCAGCAUCGGUUCUCGCGGGGGGAUAAAGGCCCCGGGAACGUAGCUCCUCCGGGAGUGUUAUAGCCCGGGGCGUAAUGUCCUCGCGGGGACCGAGGACCGCGCAUCUGCAAGGAUGCUGGCGUAAUGGUCACCAGCGACCCGUCUUGAAACACGGACCAAGGAGUCAAGGUUUUGCGCGAGUGUUUGGGUGUAAAACCCGCACGCGUAAUGAAAGUGAACGUAGGUGAGAGCUUCGGCGCAUCAUCGACCGAUCCUGAUGUAUUCGGAUGGAUUUGAGUAGGAGCGUUAAGCCUUGGACCCGAAAGAUGGUGAACUAUGCUUGGAUAGGGUGAAGCCAGAGGAAACUCUGGUGGAGGCUCGCAGCGGUUCUGACGUGCAAAUCGAUCGUCAAAUCUGAGCAUGGGGCGAAAGACUAAUCGA